GACGAACGCUGGCGGCGUGCCUAAUACAUGCAAGUCGAACGAGAGCGACCGGUGCUUGCACUGGUCAAUCUAGUGGCGAACGGGUGAGUAACACGUGGGUAACCUGCCCAUCAGAGGGGGAUAACAUCCGGAAACGGAUGCUAAAACCGCAUAGGUCUUCGAACCGCAUGGUUUGAAGAGGAAAAGAGGCGCAAGCUUCUGCUGAUGGAUGGACCCGCGGUGCAUUAGCUAGUUGGUGAGGUAACGGCUCACCAAGGCCGUGAUGCAUAGCCGACCUGAGAGGGUGAUCGGCCAUAUUGGGACUGAGACACGGCCCAAACUCCUACGGGAGGCAGCAGUAGGGAAUCUUCCGCAAUGGACGCAAGUCUGACGGAGCAACGCCGCGUGAGUGAAGAAGGUUUUCGGAUCGUAAAACUCUGUUGUUAGAGAAGAACAAGUGCUAGAGUAACUGUUAGCGCCUUGACGGUAUCUAACCAGAAAGCCACGGCUAACUACGUG
rnacentral:rRNA from 1 species